GGACUACCGGGGUUUCUAAUCCUGUUUGCUCCCCUUGCUCUCGCGCCUCAGCGUCAGGGCUAAGCUAGAAAACCGCUUUCGCCACAGGUGUUCUUCCACAUAUCUACGCAUUUCACCGCUACACGUGGAAUUCCGUUUUCUCCGCCUUCCCUCUAGAUUCGUAGUUUCAAAUGCAGCUCCGAAGUUGAGCUCCGGAAUUUCACAUCUGACUUACCAAUCCGCCUACGCGCCCUUUACGCCCAAUAAAUCCGAUUAAUGCUUGCACCCUCCGUAUUACCGCGGCUGCUGGCAC
rnacentral:rRNA from 1 species